rnacentral:rRNA from 1 species
UACGUAGGGGUCUAGCGUUGUCCGGAAUUAUUGGGCGUAAAGCGUGCGCAGGCGGCGCGUUAAGACAGGUGUGAAAGCCCCGAGCUUAACUUGGGAAUUGCGCUUGUGACUGGCGUGCUGGAGUGUGGCAGAGGGAGGUGGAAUUCCACGUGUAGCAGUGAAAUGCGUAGAGAUGUGGAGGAACACCGAUGGCGAAGGCAGCCUCCUGGGCCAGCACUGACGCUCAUGCACGAAAGCGUGGGGAGCAAACAGG